rnacentral:lncRNA from 1 species
GAAGACUUGUCCCAGUGGAAUGGGUGGAUGAGAAUGAUUUGUUCCAGAAAUCAUGAAGGUGGCUGAAGCAGAUACUGUGGAGUUCUUAGAGUUUGGUCAGACUUGAAGAUUCCAAGGCCAUCCACAGCAUCCUGGGCAAAAGCCAGUUAUCCUGACUUUUGUCUUGCCCCUGAACUUUGAUGGCUCUGGAAGAGAGUGAGGCUGAUGAUUUUGUGUAACUCCCUCCCACUGAAAUCCAAUUAAUGCUCAAGACAAUGUAUGUCUCAUAAUUAUGGCCUGGUCUUCUAAAAUGGAGGAAUAACAAUGAUACAUUCAUGAAUGUAUGACACCCCUAUUUCUUUGUGUCUUUGUGUUUAUUCUUUCCUGAUAUUAGGUGAAUGACUAUUGGAGACAACAGGACAAGCUAAGAACUUGUAAGUUUUGGAAGGGAGAUGAACUAGGAGCAAUACCAUGAAGCUACAAGAGAGGUCGAUUUCAAUGGGAUACAGGAGAAUCUAUAACAAUUGGAGUUGACCAUACGUGAAUGGGUUGCCUCUGGAAGGAAUGAACUUCCCACUUUAGGUCUUCAGGCAAAGGCUCCCGAUUGGUGGAUAAAUCAGAAGAGAGCUUGAAACGUUCUGUGACUGUCAGCUUGCUCUCUCUCUCUGGUGACAGCCAGCUUUAGAAUGACUUUGGCUGUACCUUUG